UACGGAGGGUGCAAGCGUUUAUCCGGAUUCACUGGGUUUAAAGGGUGCGUAGGUGGGCAGGUAAGUCAGUGGUGAAAUCUCCGGGCUUAACCCGGAAACUGCCAUUGAUACUAUCUGUCUUGAAUACCGUGGAGGUGAGCGGAAUAUGUCAUGUAGCGGUGAAAUGCUUAGAUAUGACAUAGAACACCAAUUGCGAAGGCAGCUCACUACGCGAAUAUUGACACUGAGGCACGAAAGCGUGGGGAUCAAACAGGAU
rnacentral:rRNA from 1 species